AGCUGGUACAGAGUGUAUGUGCGGGGAGGGGUGACUGGGAACAGGGCCUGGGUGUCAGGAUAACUGGGAUGGCCUAGUGAUCUCUGUUCUUUGUGCCGUGAUUGAGAAUGCAGGUGAACUCCACAUAGUUAAAGUUGCCUUUCUUGUCAACAGGCACCUCCGGGUACAACUCACCCCUUUGCUGGUGUGUGAGGUGGUCACAGUGGUGGGCUUCCUGGAUAAAACCUGAAGUUGAGGCUUCCUCAUUGAAGUGUUGCAGAUCACAUCCUCAGGGUCCACGCGGUUCAGCUGCUCCCCAAACACAGUGAGCAGCAUGGAGAAGUCAAUGGGCCCUGGGGCCUGGCUCAUCUCACCCUCUAGCUGUUCACCAUGUGGUUCUUCCCCAGCGAGGCCGGGCCUUCCUUGUCAAUAAGCCAUCACAGCUCUGGGCAAACCCGUGGAAGACCUCCUUAAACAUGAAGCUGGUCAAACUUCAUGAAGACAUUGGAUGUGGCCCACUGUGGCCUCUCGGUGGUCUGGCCGUGGCCUACCUGCUGGACAGCUUGGCUUCCUGGUGCAGAGAAGGCUCUGGGCUGGAAAACUGGAGAAAAGACAGCUUUCAGACCGGAAUCUAAUUUUUUCCCAGCAUUUGGUUAGAAAAAACUUCAAACAUAUAGGAAAUUUGUAAGACAUCACAGUAAAUGACUGGGUGCGGUGGCUCAUACCUGCAAUCCCAGCACUCUGGGAGGCUGAGGUGGGAGGAUCACUUGAGCCCAAGUGUUACAAACUAGCCUGGACAACAUGGUAAAACCCUGUCUCUACUAAAAAUAUAAAAAUUAGCCAGGUGUGGUGGUACGUGCCUGUAGUCCCAGCUACUUGGGAGGCUGAGAUACAAGAAUCGCUUGAACCCAGGAGGUAGAGGCUGCAGUGAGUGUCACUGCACCCCAGCCUGGGUGACAGAGCGAGACUUCAUCUCAAAAUAAAUAAAUAAAUAAAUAAAUAAAUGAAUAAAAAUUAGCCGGGUUUGGUGGUGCACACCUGUAGUCCACCUACUCAGGAGGCUGAGGUGGGAGGAUGGCUUGCACAGCACAGCAGGUGGAGCCUGCAGUGAGCCACUGAACUCCAGCCUGGCCAACAGAGAGAGACCCUGUCUCCAAAAAAUAUAAAAAAUUAUAAAAAAUAGAAUAAGAAAGAGAGAAAAGAAAAAAUAAAUGUACAGUAAACACCCAUAUACCCACC
rnacentral:lncRNA from 1 species